GGUCAAGCGAACAAGUGCAUGUGGUGGAUGCCUUGGCGAUCACAGGCGAUGAAGGACGCGGUAGCCUGCGAAAAGCUUCGGGGAGCUGGCAAACAAGCUUUGAUCCGGAGAUGUCCGAAUGGGGAAACCCGGCCCGAAUGGGUCAUCCCUGACUGAAUACAUAGGUCAGGGAAGCGAACGCGGCGAACUGAAACAUCUAAGGUACCAAUCACUAGU
rnacentral:rRNA from 1 species